ensembl:ncRNA M03A1.12 ncRNA
AAAAAAUUCUUGGAGGUAUGGGGAAUUGAACCCCAGCCCUCUCCCAUGCUAAGGGAGCGCUCUACCACUGAGCUAUACCCCCGACGAG